UUCAGCAUCAAUAUAAAUUUAAAUCCUAUUCUAACAAGGGCCUAAAUUCCCCUUGAUCUUGGAAGCUAGGCAGGGUCAGCCCUGAUUAGUACUUGGAUGGGAGACAGCCAGUGAAUACCAGGUGUAGCUGGAU
rnacentral:rRNA from 11 species